rnacentral:rRNA from 1 species
UACGUAGGAGGCAAGCGUUGUCCGGAAUCACUGGGCGUAAAGAGCGUGUAGGCGGUCUGCCAAAGUCUGUUGUGAAAGCGCCUGGCUUAACUGGGCGAGGUCGACGGGAAACUGGCAAACUGGAGGCCGGUAGAGGAGGGUGGAAUCCUGGUGUAGCGGUGGAAUGCGCAGAUAGUCAGGAGGAACACCGGUGGCGAAGGCGGGUCUCUGGGCAGUAACUGACGCUGGAGGAGCGAAAGCCGUGGGGAGCGAACAGG